AGGCACGUAGCUCAGCGGCUAGAGCGCCGCCUUGACACGGCGGAGGUCGGGGGUUCGAUCCCCCCCGUGCCUACCA
rnacentral:tRNA from 1 species